ACUAUAAUUUAUUCUAAAGAAAGACAAACAACAUAAAUUGCUUAACAAAGAUGAAGAGUUGAAAGAAAAUCUGAAGGACAAGCUAACAAAAAGCUGAAGUUGUGGUAAACACGCCCAUUGCUUGCAGUGUUUCAGGAAUCAGCCAGUUUAUCACAAAUGCUUAAAGCCUUGUGAAUAUUAUGUGGUGUCAACUGUCUGUUGAUGGCUAAAAUGGCCAUUUUAUUAUACAUAUCUAAUAAAUACAUUUUUCUACUUGUAUUGUUUUGAAGCUUUCCCUGAGGUAUGUGACAUUUAUGUCUGUAUUCCAGUGCGCGCUGGAGCAGGUAUUCUUCUGUUGGUGAUCUUCAUUCUCAUUGUUUGCUGUAUCCAGAAAAAAGCAAACAUAAUAAAGGACAAAGUUGAGCUUCCAUUGAAGAAGCAUCAUCAUCAUAAGCAGCUGGUUGGUAGCGUCCCGGAGCCUGACUUCUGUGCAGACUGUGGUCUGGAGGUAGACAACAGGAUAUAAUGUAAUCAUUAUUCAACAUUCAGACUGUUUUGUUUUUCUGUCUUUCAUUUUUUUUUCUUCCAGCCAAGUUCAUCUUGGCUGUUAGAGCAACCGUUCAAGACUCAUGCAGCAUGGCUGAUGUAAUCUUUUUAUGAUUUUUUUCUUUCUGUCUGAUUCAAAGAUUCCCAGGAUGUUUUUGACCUGUAUGGUGCAACAGGCAGUAUCUUUAUUGUUUCUCUGAAACCAAGCUGGGCAAAAAACUUGACCUUAAAAUGGAAACACAAUGAUGAGAAAGUCUUUUCACACAGAAAAGUGAAUGACAUGGCAUAUCCAAACCAACAAGCCUGAAGACAAACAACUUGGGAAACUUUGUUUCAAUGAAUAUGGAAAAUUAGAAAAAGAAAAUAUGACCAUAUGUUUAUUUGUUGUGGGUAGCUAACAACAGAGUAGAUUUAUUGUGGUUAUACAAUAAACAUCACAUUUCUCUUUGAAUUUCUCUUUAUGUCAGUCUCAACCAUAGAUUACAGUGUGCAGUCAGCGAAGCACUUUUCAGCCUUAUCACAUUAGUGUUUUCACAUAUAUGGCAUCAAUGUGAACAUGAAUGUAUUUUAUGUUUUUAUGUUUUUGAUUUUUAAUCUACUCAUUAAAAAAAGUGUUACACCUUUGUCAUCAGUCUUUAUUUAAU